GUAAACGGCGGCCGUAACUAUAACGGUCCUAAGGUAGCGAAAUUCCUUGUCGGGUAAGUUCCGACCCGCACGAAAGGCGUAACGAUUUGGGCACUGUCUCAACGAGAGACUCGGUGAAAUCAUAGUACCUGUGAAGAUGCAGGUUACCCGCGACAGGACGGAAAGACCCCGUGGAGCUUUACUGUAGCCUGAUAUUGAAAUUUGGCACAGCUUGUACAGGAUAGGUAGGAGCCUUUGAAACGUGAGCGCUAGCUUACGUGGAGGCGCUGGUGGGAUACUACCCUGGCUGUGUUGACUUUCUAACCCGCACCAUUUGAUCAUGGUGGGAGACAGUGUCAGGCGGGCAGUUUGACUGGGGCGGUCGCCUCCUAAAGAGUAACGGAGGCGCUCAAAGGUUCCCUCAGAAUGGUUGGAAAUCAUUCGCAGAGUGUAAAGGCACAAGGGAGCUUGACUGCGAGACCUACAAGUCGAGCAGGGUCGAAAGACGGACUUAGUGAUCCGGUGGUUCCGCAUGGAAGGGCCAUCGCUCAACGGAUAAAAGNNNNNNNNNNNNNNNNNNNNNNNNNNNNNNNNNNNGUUUGGCACCUCGAUGUCGGCUCAUCGCAUCCUGGGGCUGUAGUCGGUCCCAAGGGUUGGGCUGUUCGCCCAUUAAAGCGGUACGCGAGCUGGGUUCAGAACGUCGUGAGACAGUUCGGUCCCUAUCCGUCGUGGGCGUAGGAAAUUUGAGAGGAGCUGUCCUUAGUACGAGAGGACCGGGAUGGACAUACCUCUGGUGUACCAGUUGUCGCGCCAGCGGCAUAGCUGGGUAGCUAUGUAUGGACGGGAUAAGUGCUGAAAGCAUCUAAGCAUGAAGCCCCCCUCAAGAUGAGAUUUCCCAACUUCGGUUAUAAGAUCCCUCAAAGAUGAUGAGGUUAAUAGGUUCGGGGUGUAAGCGCAGUAAUGUGUGUAGCUGACGAAUACUAAUCGAUCGAAGACUUAAUCAAAUUUUA
rnacentral:rRNA from 1 species